rnacentral:rRNA from 1 species
UACAGAGGGUGCGAGCGUUGUCCGGAAUCACUGGGCGUAAAGGGCGCGUAGGCGGCCUGCUAAGUAGAGGGUGAAAUCCUGCGGCUCAACCGCAGGGCUGCCUUCUAAACUGUCAGGCUGGAGCACGGUAGAGGCAGAUGGAAUUCCCGGUGUAGCGGUGGAAUGCGUAGAGAUCGGGAAGAACACCAGUGGCGAAGGUGGUCUGCUGGGCCGUUGCUGACGCUGAGGCGCGACAGCGUGGGGAGCAAACAGG